UACGGAGGGGACUAGCGUUGUUCGGAAUUACUGGGCGUAAAGCGCACGUAGGCGGAUUUGUAAGUCAGGGGUGAAAUCCCGGGGCUCAACCUCGGAACUGCCUUUGAUACUGCAAAUCUCGAGUCCGGAAGAGGUGAGUGGAAUUCCUAGUGUAGAGGUGAAAUUCGUAGAUAUUAGGAAGAACACCAGUGGCGAAGGCGGCUCACUGGUCCGGUACUGACGCUGAGACGCGAAAGCGUGGGGAGCGACAGG
rnacentral:rRNA from 1 species